GCUCAGGUGGCCUAGUGGUUAGAGCGUCCGUCUCGGAUGCGGGUGAUCACGGGUUCGAUUAGGUUGAAUCAUGCCAAAGCA